rnacentral:rRNA from 1 species
UACGUAGGUGGCGAGCGUUGUCCGGAAUUACUGGGUGUAAAGCGCGUGUAGGCGGGAGGCCAAGUCUGUGGUGAAAUCGCUCGGCUUAACUGGGCGGGGUCCAUGGAACUGGUCACCUGGAGGUCGGUAGAGGCAAGUGGAAUUCCCGGUGUAGUGGUGAAAUGCGUAGAGAUCGGGAGGAACACCAGUGGCGAAGGCGGCUUGCUGGGCCGGACCUGACGCUGAGACGCGAAGGCGUGGGGAGCGAACGGG